GUUACAUGGUACCAUUGUUUUCUUAUACUUGGCCAUGGGCUAAUCUUUUCCGGGAGAGUCAUCCCUACUAAGAUGAAGAUGAGGGACUCCAGGCAUGUUUACCUAGAUCAAUGACAGCCAUAGUCCCAGGCUAUAUGGAAUUCCUGCAGUUGUGUCGUAGGAAAUGAAGGAAGGAGAGGAUGGAAAGAUACUGAGUUCUCACAAGGGGCAACAGAAACAGAAUCAAUAUUGUGGUGUCUGCUCCCCAGCCUGAGGACUCAUGCCGGGGCUUGAAGUCUCCCAGGAAGAAACUGAAGAACUCUGGAAGACGACAAAGCCAAAAGCAUGCUAUCUGAUGGACUCAGUGAGUUUAGCCAAGAAUCAAUGAAGAACACCUUUUAAAAGUUGGCACCAAAUGUUCAAAACUGCCUGGGUUGUAACACUGAAAACAAAAGUGUUGUCUCUUGGCCUAAAGUAAAUCUGUUUAUUUCAAAGCAUUCCAUAG